rnacentral:rRNA from 1 species
UACAGAGGUCUCAAGCGUUGUUCGGAUUCAUUGGGCGUAAAGGGUGCGUAGGCGGCGAGGUAAGUCGGGUGUGAAAUCUCGGAGCUUAACUCCGAAACUGCAUUCGAUACUGCCGUGCUUGAGGACUGGAGAGGAGACUGGAAUUUACGGUGUAGCGGUGAAAUGCGUAGAUAUCGGAAGGAAGACCAGUGGCGAAGGCGGGUCUCUGGACAGUUCCUGACGCUGAGGCACGAAGGUCAGGGGAGCAAACGGG